UCACAAACCUGUCAGUGAAAGUGUAUCAACAUGUAACAUUCAAACGAACAACGAUGUGACAUCAAACCAAAGACUGAAAAAGUCUGAAGGUUUACGGUCAUUGACAAGAGUUUAUAAGGGCAAAGGUUAUAGAUUUUGGAAAUGUCAGGAGCUAUUCUUUAUUUUUGUCAGGGAGUGUGUGACACACCGAAAUGUGUUGUCACAUUUUGUUAUUGUAUUUGGUUAUUUUGUAUGAAUAUUAUACAAACGUAUCUGUGUUUUGGUUAAAGAAGUUAUUUUGAAGCUGUUCCUGUAUAUGCCACAUGGGGGCAGCACCUCCCCUGCUGAGCGAGCUGUUUAUUGUCUUUGCUGCGCUCUGCUUCAGUCUGGCAGAAGCGAGAGAAGAGUGAACAACUACAGUCGACUCAGUGUGUUUUCUUUGUCUUUUACAGGUUAGUAAUUGAAGUUUAAAACACAGAACUUUCACAAUAUGAUGCAGAUUUAAUCCCACUUAAAGUUCUAUUGGUUCUAUAACACUUUGUGGGUCUUAUGUUUGUAAAGAGAGUAAAAACGGUUUUGAGUGCUAGCAUGCUAAGAAAAGUGCCUCGUGCAUGACCGUAACUUUCAGUUUCAAUUCCCUUCUGAUUUUCAGUUGGUUAAAAACGCUCACGAUACUGUGUAAAAUAAAUAAAUAGGUCAUUUAUUCUGUUUAUGUACAAAAGUAAGAUUGUUGUAUCAGUUAAAUGUUAUUUGCUUAUCUGGUAGCUCUGUCAGUUAAUAUGGGUUUUUCCCAUUGAAAAU